rnacentral:lncRNA from 1 species
AAAAAUAUGUAGAGCUCAUUCCCACAUCAUCUCAACAAGAUAUUUAAUUAAAUGUUAUGUUUCAAUGCACACAUUUCAAUAGAAUUUCAAAUAUGAAUAUGUGAAAUCAAAUUCAAAUCACACAAGUUCACAAGUCAUACCAAAAUCAAUAGUGUAGUUCAUAUGGUAGAAAUAACAUAAAGCAAAGUUCAUCUAAAAGAAACCAGAGGCAACAUUGACAAUAGAUCAAGCACCCACAUUGCUACUUCCAGUUCCCAAGUACAUUUGAUCUUGGCAAGAUUGAUGAAUGUUUUGGCACUCCUAAGAUCUCACAACGAGCUUGCUCCCAAUAUUGUUUUGACGUCUCAUCCAAUAUUGAAGCAUCCAUGAGCAUGAGCGCUUGCUCUCGCUCCUUAAUCUUCUUUGUCUCUACCAUGGAGGUGAUCAUCAAUCUUUCCUCCUCGAGGGCAAUUUUCUUCCCCUUGGUCCGGACAAUAGGAUCUGAGAAAUAACACCAAGGGGCAGAAGAUUCUCAUGGGAUGUUGCACUACCAUGGUUGGGAAGGGGUGGACUCCCCGAUAGAAAAGGAUGAUUGGUCCGUGAGUUUGCAAAAUGCUCGUACCUGUUUUCAUAUGGCAAUUGAUCACCAACAUUAGCUACAGGAACAAUGUGACUAAGAACAUGUUGAGUCCUGUAUUCAAAAUGGUAUUGGCUUGUCCUUGAAUGAUAUGUUGAAUCUUGAGUUGUAUUGGUCAAAUUUACUG